UGGCAUGAAGCACUCGGUGAGCUCAGGAGCUGCAAAUGCCUCCUGCCUUGUGGGGGAUUUCUGUAGGUGCAGGGAGACCCAGAUCCCGCUCGGAAGGGAAAAAUCCAUGUGCUGCACCUCCAACCACUGCUCUUCGUGUAACCAGUCCUCGCACGGGAACAGGCAGCCCCAGCCAGCACUGCCGGAGCAUGGUUUGCAGCAGGAAGUCUUAAACCUGCGCCCAGAUUAGGGCCAUCACAGGCCCCUAAUCCCGUCACCGCCUGCGCGUCCCUGAUGCCGAGUGACACGGCGAUUGUGUGCGCGGGGGAGCGACGCGGAGAUGAGUUUGUCGGUUCCACCUAGCGUGAUUGCCACCUUCUCCUCGCCGAGGAGAGGAACGAAAUUGAAGGAGAAAAGGUCAGAGAGACCUGGUCAUCCUCUCCCCUUCUCCCCAGCCGCUCGCUCCUCGGGAUGGAAACGAGAGAUGACAGCUCCCCGCGCCGCUUGGGAUGCGGAGUAAAGCGAAAAGGGAAGCGUCAGCGCAGGGCCGGGCGGCGAGGAGCGCCGCCUGUUAGCAACGCAUCUCCACGGCGUGGGGUCCUGGUGAUUGUCCCUGGCGUCUGCUAGCACCAAAGUGACAGUGACAAGGUCUUUGAUUAGAAAGAGGCCCCGCCACGUCCUCCCUGCCACCGCCGCGGGCUGGUGGCACGUCGCCCUCUGCCCGGCGUCCCUGCCGAUGGCUGCAGGGGGGGCGGCUGGGGGAGGGCUUUUUGUCCUCUGUGGCCACCUUGGUGGAGACGGGUCUCAGUUCAGGCCCAGGAGACUCUCCUGAGAGCAUUUUUUUUCCUUUUUUUUUCUUUCUUUUAUUCAUUUUUUCCCCCACUGUUAAUAGUUUUUUCCAAGGAGGAACCACAAUGAAGCAAGUGAUCCUCCUCGUGAUUUCUGUGGGAAUCAGCACCCACCUUUUAAAUCCCAGGGCCUGUGUUAGCAAGCCUCUUUGCGUUGACUCCCCUGGAGACAUUUCUCAUGUAAAGAGCACCUUACGAAGUGGUGCCGUUGGAGAGAGGCUGCCUGAAGCAGUUUGUGCCAGGAGGGUUGGAAGAUGGAGCAAGCAGAGCAGAGGUUGGAGAGGGCCAUGUCAUGCGCAGGUGAGGCAUUCCUUAUUCAUUUCCUCGGGGACAUUCUGGUUUCUAAAAGUCCUGACAAAAAAUGCUGCUGCAAAUUUAAAGGGAAGGCACAGAGUGGGAGCGCAGAAAAGCUCUGUGCUUUGGAAAUUCAGGAGAAAGUCGUUCCUGAAUUGCCACCUAUUGCUUAAACCCAGCUGUGCACAGCAGCAGGGCGGCAAGCACCUAACCCGUGUGCCUGGAAGUCGUGGCCACCUGCGCUGCCUCCUGGGCUGCGCACCUCGGCACGGUCCCAGUUAG
rnacentral:lncRNA from 1 species